rnacentral:rRNA from 1 species
UACGGGGGGGGCAAGCGUUGUUCGGAAUUACUGGGCGUAAAGGGCUCGUAGGUGGCCAACUAAGUCAGACGUGAAAUCCCUCGGCUUAACCGGGGAACUGCGUCUGAUACUGGAUGGCUUGAGUGUGGGAGAGGGAUGCGGAAUUCCAGGUGUAGCGGUGAAAUGCGUAGAUAUGCGGAGGAACACCGAUGGCGAAGGCAAUCCCCUGGGCCUGCACUGACGCUCAUGCACGAAAGCGUGGGGAGCAAACAGG